rnacentral:rRNA from 1 species
UACGAAGGGGGCUAGCGUUGCUCGGAAUCACUGGGCGUAAAGCGCACGUAGGCGGCUUUUUAAGUCAGGGGUGAAAUCCUGGAGCUCAACUCCAGAACUGCUUUUGAUACUGGGAAGCUCGAGUCCGGGAGAGGUGAGUGGAACUCCGAGUGUAGAGGUGAAAUUCGUAGAUAUUCGCAAGAACACCAGUGGCGAAGGCGGCUCACUGGCCCGGUACUGACGCUGAGGUGCGAAAGCGUGGGGAGCAAACAGG